rnacentral:lncRNA from 1 species
AGUCGUGAAGUUUGAUUAAAACUAUCGAUUUUGACUGGAGAUUUUGAAUUUUAUCAAUCCGAUCGUUCAAUAUCAUCUAAUUGGACUAACAAACAAAUGAGAAAUGAAAUUUUGAUCAUCGCACUUCGGAUGUAUAGACAUACCAUAAUAACAGUCUCACUCGAAAGCUAGUCUUAAUGAAAGAGUCGUAAAGUUUGACUAAAACUACCGACUUGGACUGAAGAUUUUAAAUUUUAUCAAUCCGACCGUUCAAUAUCACCUAAUUUGACUAAUAAACAAAUGAGAGAAAGAAUUUUGAUUAUCGGACUCCGGAUGUAUAAAGAUAUCGUAAUAACAAUCUUAUUGAAAAACUAGUUUUAAUGAAAUAGUCACGAAGUUUGACUAAAACUAUCAAUUUUUACCGGAGAUUUUGAAUUUUUACUUAAUUAAAAAUGUUGCGG